rnacentral:rRNA from 1 species
GACGUAGGGCGCGAGCGUUGUCCGGAUUUAUUGGGCGUAAAGAGCUCGUAGGCGGCUUGUCGCGUCGACCGUGAAAACUCGCAGCUCAACUGCGAGCCUGCGGUCGAUACGGGCAGGCUAGAGUUCGGUAGGGGAGACUGGAAUUCCUGGUGUAGCGGUGAAAUGCGCAGAUAUCAGGAGGAACACCGAUGGCGAAGGCA